rnacentral:rRNA from 1 species
UAUCGGAACGUGCCCUGGAGUGGGGGAUAACUAGUCGAAAGACUAGCUAAUACCGCAUACGAUCUACGGAUGAAAGUGGGGGAUCGCAAGACCUCAUGCUCGUGGAGCGGCCGAUAUCUGAUUAGCUAGUUGGUGGGGUAAAAGCCUACCAAGGCGACGAUCAGUAGCUGGUCUGAGAGGACGACCAGCCACACUGGGACUGAGACACGGCCCAG